UACGUAGGGUGCGAGCGUUGUCCGGAAUUAUUGGGCGUAAAGAGCUCGUAGGCGGUCUGUCGCGUCGAAUGUGAAAACCCGGGGCUCAACUCCGGGCUUGCAGUCGAUACGGGCAAACUUGAGUGCGGUAGGGGAGACUGGAAUUCCUGGUGUAGCGGUGAAAUGCGCAGAUAUCAGGAGGAACACCGGUGGCGAAGGCGGUUCUCUGGGCCUGUACUGAUGCUGAGGAGCGAAAGCGUGGGGAGCGAACAGG
rnacentral:rRNA from 1 species